GUACAGCGCGUCGAGCAGCAUCAGCCGAAC
rnacentral:antisense_RNA from 1 species